UCUCAGGUUCCCGAAGACGGCCCCGGGCCGCCUCCGGAGCAGAAGGUCGCAGGUUCGAAUCCUGCCGAGGGAACCA
rnacentral:tRNA from 1 species